AUUGAACGCUGGCGGCAUGCCUUACACAUGCAAGUCGAACGGUAACAGGUCUUCGGAUGCUGACGAGUGGCGAACGGGUGAGUAAUACAUCGGAACGUGCCCGAUCGUGGGGGAUAACGGAGCGAAAGCUUUGCUAAUACCGCAUACGAUCUACGGAUGAAAGCAGGGGACCGCAAGGCCUUGCGCGAACGGAGCGGCCGAUGGCAGAUUAGGUAGGUGGUGGGAUCAAAGCUUACCAAGCCGACGAUCUGUAGCUGGUCUGAGAGGACGACCAGCCACACUGGGACUGAGACACGGCCCAGACUCCUACGGGAGGCAGCAGUGGGGAAUUUUGGACAAUGGGCGCAAGCCUGAUCCAGCAAUGCCGCGUGCAGGAUGAAGGCCUUCGGGUUGUAAACUGCUUUUGUACGGAACGAAAAGGCUCUGGUUAAUACCUGGGGCUCAUGACGGUACCGUAAGAAUAAGCACCGGCUAACUACGUGCCAGCAGCCGCAGUAAAAC
rnacentral:rRNA from 1 species